rnacentral:lncRNA from 1 species
CACCAGGGAACUCUUUAUCUAUUUAUUUACUUACUUUUUGGCCACACUUGUAGUGUAUGGAAAUUCCCAAGCCACAGCUGUGAACUCUGCCACAGUUGCAGCAACGCCAGAUCUUUAAGCUGCUGUACCACAGCGGAAAGUCCAUGUACUUGUUUUUAAUCAUCCGCGUCAUCUUGAAGCAGGCCUUCACGAUCUGUCUGGACUGAUGCAGUGGUCUGACAGCUGGUUGUCCUUCUCACCUCCUCCCUUUCAGAUCAUCUAUAUCAGCAGCAGUCUGAUCUUUCUUAACCAGGGAUCUAAAUCUUGUGUCUUAAAAAUCCUCUUUGGCUCUUUAUUGCCCGCAGUACUGUCUAAAUCCCUGACGUGCUUCAUUCAACCUUGUAGCUUCCUUUUGCAGGUGGUAUGCUCCAUUCACCACUCCCUGCAUUCCAUAAAUACUGUAGGCCAGGGCUUCCCACAAAUGGAUCCUAGGUUUACCUUUAAUAGGUUACAGGUUUGUUGAGAAGUACUGGGUGCCUUCUACUUUUGGGGUGGCCAGAUGGAGCCUGGCGCAUCCAGGACUCCACUGAGAGUAGUUGGAGUCUAAGUUCUCUGCAUAAUGACUGGUGACAUGCUGAGCACAGGCAGGAAGAUGCCCUGCAAGCUGCGUGCUUCCUUGAGCCGCCCACUGCAGAGCGGGCCACUGCCCACUGCUCUCCGAAGUGGGGGGCAGUCAUCGGGGGUUCCCAGCUUCAGGUAGAAGUCUCCUCUGCGUUCACUUAGGUUGUAAUGUGUUCGGUACUUUUGUGGCCGGUAUUCCAUUUAGUAGCAUUCAGGUUAGCUAUGGGCUGACCAAUCCAUGAACUAUGAAAAAUAUAAUUAAAACCAAGUUCAUGUUUUAUAACUUUAGAUUUUAAAGCUUUUCCUAACUUAAAGUGAAAACAAAGAGUAGUGUUUCUCAUAGUAUUGUCUUAUCACUACUGAUGGAUGGGCCCACGUAGCCUGUUUGGUGUGAAAGAAGGCAGUGUUAUCGAGAGAUUUUGUUUUUGUUUUUUGCCAGGUCACUUAAUGCCACCUCAGAGAGGAUUCUGUAGGUCUCUGCUGUGUUUACACUGAGCGUGAUCCUCAUGAGUCAUGUCAGGUCUUUCUUGCUUUCAGUUUGGGGAAGGUUUUCAAGAAAGUAUAACUGCUGUUUACAUCUCGAUAGUGCUUUGUUUGUCCAGGAUGCUUUUAUACUCAUAUAAUUUUAUUUAAACUUGACAACCACUUUGUGAGGGUUAUUUUUAAUUUCAUGUUAUAGGGUUUUCUUAUUUUACCGAUUGGGAAACCGAUGCUGGGUAGUUAAGUAACUCAGAGUCACACAGCCAGUGUACAGUGGAAACACAAGGAUUUUAUUGAGCAGGUAUGGCUUCAAGGACACAAUGUAAACAGACUUUAUGGAAGAUGAGUUACUAAGACAGCCAUUCCUACCUCUUUAGAAGAGGAUUCUUUUUCUCAAGUAUGGCAUCAAAUAGAUUUCUUACUAGAAUACCUUGCAAAUGGUACUUAAAACUAAAUAGAUAUAAGUGAAUCAAUUGAAGUUUGAAGCAGCUUUGAAAUUAGGAUAUACAUAGUAAGACGCAUGCCAUCUAUUUGAGGUUUUCUGUAUAGAGCUGUGUCUAAUAUACACGUGUAUGUAUUUGUAUCACUGAGUUUCACAAUUAGGGUUUCUUGGAUCCCUAAUUACUGAAAUCUUUUGCUUGAAUAUUGAGGACAAAAUUGGCAAUUUUCCUCCAGAUUGUGGAUUUUGAAAAUGAAGUACACAAGUUCACUUGUGGAAAUGUGAAUUGCAUUGUCAUGAUGCAUUUGUGUGGUGCUACUGUCCAGGAACACGGGAAGUUUUCAGUGUUGUAGUUUGGCUUCUGAAUAUGUGAAUCGUGGAAAGCACUCUAGGUCUACACUAGUUACCAGUUUUGUUUUGGGUGCAGUUCAUAGUGUGUCCUUAAGUCUAUAAAGCAGAGUUUGGAGCCUCUCGCGUCCUGUUGGCCGAAGAGGUUCUGCCUUUUAGUUUCCUGAGUGCUGUGGCGCCUCAGACCUGCUCAGCUUAUCCUGAUCUACUUGGUCUUAAUACUCGGUUCUCUGUGUGACAUUGAUGACUAAUUUUACCCAGUUUAUGACCUAGGGCUUUCAGUGGGCAGUAUUUUAAGAAUCUAAAAGUUAGGAAUCUGGCUACCAUUCACCUCACUAUCAGUUUUGAUUAUGGGCAGGGAAUUUUAUUUUUUAAAAAAUACAAAUUUCUGAUUACUCUGUAGUUUAAUAAAAAGUGCUUAAUCAUCUUAUCCAAAACACUGUCCUGCCCCACCUCCCCUCAGGUUUGAAACAUUCCCAGGCAAGCUUUUUUUCAGUAAGUGCAUAAGAAAUCAGUGCUUAUAUGUAAAUAUAUGGCACCCAUAUGGUGGAAAGGUACACUUCCUUUGUUCUGAGCGAGCAGUAAUGGAGAAAAUGCAUGAUUACACUGAAAUGGUAAACCGAAUUAUCCAUUAACGCUUCCUGGGGUUUAAUAUAACCUUCUCUCUCCACCCAAAAGGCACAUCGCAUUUAGUCCAUAAUAUCACUGCUCCAUUUUAAGUGAAUAGUUUUUUCAGCUUUGAUCUGUAAUGGCAGUGAGGGUGACCAGUUAGUUUUGUUUGUCCAGGACUGUCCUGGUUUUAAAACUGAGUCCCUUUCAGUCCCAGACAAACCCUGGCACAGGGCUGUGCUGUCAGUGGGCUAUAGGCCUGUUACUAGGACUAUGCUAAAACUACUAUAGAUCAGUGGUUAAAAGAAUUUAGUUUUCCUGGGUAGUGCUGAUGCUGCUGGUUUGGGGAUCACACUCUGAGGACAACUGGCUUAGAUCAAGCCCUGUGCAUUGUGAGUAUAUGGUGAUGUUUAUUCAGAUUUGUAGAGAAAAGGAUCUGUUUCUCUGCCUUACACGCGCAAGCUCUCAUUAUCCCCAGAGGUGUUUGUGUGUCUGAGCUGUGAUCAUGUAGCACAAAAAAGACCUGGUCCUGCGAGAGGUGACAGAAACGGGGGAAAGGUUCGAAAAAAGUCCAAACAAGUCCUACCCAGGCACACACAUAUGCAUUAGAGUAUACUUUUUAGGUAAACUGUAUAAUCAAUUUGAAUCUCCCAUAAAGUAUCUGAUACAUGUCGUUAGUGCCAGAGAACACAUACUCAUCAUUACAGCAGAGCUGAUUUAAGCUGGAUGUAGCAGGGCCAGUAGCACUCACCUUGCCUGCUUCUCCAGAGUGACCGCGGUGAGAACCCGUGCGCAGGGUAGCUGUGCAGACCCAGGCUGUGGCGGGGCUGACUGGUGUGUGCUUUCCGACUGAGCACUGCUGGUCAUCUUCAUCAGCUCGUUGAUUGUUUUCAGGGAGUUUGAGGAUCCAAGCGUGUAGGUGGGGCUGCUUUAGGAUUAUUGUUAUUGUUACUGCUGUUAUCAUGUCCUGAUUAUUCCCUGUGACUUUGGUCAUAGCCUCACAGGCUUUAGUUUGCAGGUUUAUUUGUCCUUGGAGGUGGUCGCCGUGUAGAUAGUUCUUAGGUAGUGGCUCAUAAUCCUUAGUGGCUGAGCUUGGUCAGAUCACUUCUCCAAUUUGUACUUCUUCCUCAUCUUAACUAGUUAUAAGUUGAGAAAUUGUAUGAAAACACAUUAAACCUUUGUUACAGAUGACAAUUAGCAGUAAGAAAUAAAUCGUAAAUAAGCCUCAAAGAACAGGAAAUGUGUUGUUUUUAUCUCUGUCCUAAGCACCUCGCCACUUUAUUAACUUUUCAAGUGAUUGAAUUAUUAAUUCAGAUAUCAUUUUCUUUUCUCUUCUUUUUUAAAUCUCUUUUUUUUUAACAUGGAGCGUAUAGAAGAUGAUAAAUAUUAAAUAGGUUGAAAAUAAGAAUAGCAUAUCUUUUGGGGUGUCUGUGGGGGUGGGGUUUCUUUUAAUCUGGGUGUUUUCUGCUCCAUUACUGAUUUUUAGUGGGCUAUAAAUUCUUGCCUUUUGUCACCUUUUUGUCCCCCUCAUUACCCUGUUUCGUUUAAGACUUGGCAUGAACCCCUUGCUACUGGUCCCUCCAGCUUCCCUGUCUAUUGCAAAGUUCAGGGUCAAAGUUGUGGCAUACCGUUUCUAAGAAAUUCCCCAGGCACCAUUGAAUUUCAGCAGAUUAAUAGAUAUCUCUUAGAGGAUGCAAAAUCUAGGCCAUUGGAGAACUUCAUUUGUUUUUGUUUUGUUUUUCAGCAUGUUUCUCUUAUUAAGUUACUAGUAAAAUUUCCUAAACCCAGUAAAAAUUCCUUAUAAUGAUAUAGUUGCCUCUCUCUGUGGCAUUUAUUGUGGGAUCCACUGCAGACACCAAAAUCCACGGAUGCUAAAGUCCCAUGGUUGGCCCUUGCUAUCCAUGGUGCCAGUUAUCUGCAGAUUCAGCCAACUGCAGAUCUUGUAGUACUGUAUGUAUGUAUGUAUUGAAAAAAAUCUGCCUAUCAGUGGACCUCCUGUAGUUUGAACUCCUUUUGUUCAAGGGUCAGUUGUGCUUUUGAAGAAUAAUGUCUUCAUUAUGGAUGUUGCAGUGAAAGAAACGUAUUAGGUAUCUAACUUGUUUUCCACAUGGUACUUGGGAGAUCUGUGGUAUGACAGAAUCCGUAGUGGCAGGGCACGCAUUGUACAUGGGUUCUCAUAGACUGUCUUUGACAGAGUGGUUGGGCAGACAUUUGCAGUUUCUGCUCAGUACCACUGUUCCAGGCAGCAGUUCACUGAUACCCCCUUCUAUCUGGACAGCAGAUGGCUUGUAGGGACUCUAGUAUAUGUUUUGCCUGUUUUCAUAAAAAUUUGUAAAUGAAAAAGUAAAGUGCUAAUGCUAGUAGCAAGAACAGUAGGUAGCUCUC